rnacentral:rRNA from 1 species
AGCGAACGCUGGCGGCGUACCUAACACAUGCAAGUCGAACGAGGAUCGCUGCGUGAGCAAUCAUGUAGCGGCUCUAGUGGCGCACGGGUGAGUAACACGUGGGCAACCUGCCCUGGAGUCUGGGAUACCCUCUCGAAAGGGAGGCUAAUACCGGAUACGUUCCCUGGAUCGCAGGAUCUGGGGAGGAAAGGUAGCGAAAGCUGCCGCUCUUGGAGGGGCNCGCGGCCUAUCAGCUAGUUGGUGAGGUAACGGCUCACCAAGGCGAUGACGGGUAGCUGGUCUGAGAGGACGACCAGCCACACGGGGACUGAGACACGGCCCCGACUCCUACGGGAGGCAGCAGUGGGGAAGUUUUCCGCAAUGGGCGAAAGCCUGACGGAGUGACGCCGGCGGU